UCCCAGCAAGGAGCUCACAUAGGCCGUAUCCACACUGAAUGCAAGCAGUGUCUUGUGAGACACCCCUGAAUUGGCUGGAGGCUCCACACGGUUGUGCUGCCAUGCAGAGGGACUGGCCCAGGCUCUGGUGCAGGAUGGCUGCUCACAGGGCCCCACAGGAGCCAAACUUAGGAAUACAUGGUGCAAUGAUCUGGUCUUUGAAAGAUGAUUCUGCAGUACUCCUGGAAGAUGUUCAGAUUGAAGGAGCACUGCAAACUGUCCCACAAGGAAAGCAGCUACACAUACAGACUGCAGGAAGAAAAGUCUCUACUAGAGAAAUCGACUAGAGGAAUCAGAAAGGAAGAGAUGGAUUUUUAUACAGCACACACUACGUGCCUGCUCUUCUCCCCUGACUGCUGUGUCCCCACAGGUAAUGGACCAGCUCGCCCUGUGUACGAUUUGGUUGGGCCUCAAAGGGAAACUUUCAGUUUGUAACUGAAAGAGGGGCAAAGUUCUGAAACACUGUCAGACACAUGAGUCCUUGAGAUUCUCUUUCCUUCUGAGGAGCCCGAGAGAUAAAUGUCUAAGUACCAUUUGAGAAAAGGCUGUCUGGUGAUAAAUAACGUGGCAGGUAAUGAUACUGCCUUGUCCUUUGUAGGAUCUUGGUGCAUACAGCUGAAUUGAAUAAAAAGAUCAAUCCUUGACUGUUACCCAGUGAAGAAGCCAUUCCUCUUUCGGAGCAGGACUUGGAAUGUAUGGUGGUCUAGUAAUAUGUUAUUCUUGAAGGCAAAGAUCAAUUAAUUUUCAGCCAGAUUAACUGGUAUUUUUUGUGCCAAAGGCUCUCAUUUAUCCCUGCUGUCAGUGAAGUGAGAUAAUCUAUAUAAAUACAACUUCCUUAAUUGUGCCGGUUACAUUUUGCAGUAUACACUAAAUGAUCGAUGUGUAAGGAGAUGAAAAACUACUGGUGGAAGCUGUCCAAACACUUGCCUUUUGCUGUGGAUUGUGAAUCCUCUUUAUGGAAUCAAUUCAGCACCACAUCUUCAUGUAGUUCCACUUCAGCACUAACCUGAUCUCUGCUGCUCAGCACAGCACCACCGACUCCCCUGGGGCGCAGCCAGCGAGACACCACCAUGCCCGUGAGUUUUGACAUGUGCGUGGUGCUACUCAGAGGUGGUCUGCGAACAGGGCACGUCAGAAUUCAGGUGCAUCCCUAAUCCGGACGUGGCUAUUUCUUGCCGUGAGGUUAUUUUUACAGGACCAGUAUUGCCGGGUGGGUUGCCAUGCUACCUGAAAUAAGCCAUUUGUAAUUGUCUUGUAACUCUU
rnacentral:lncRNA from 13 species